rnacentral:rRNA from 1 species
UAGGGAAUCUUCGGCAAUGGACGAAAGUCUGACCGAGCAACGCCGCGUGAGUGAAGAAGGUUUUCGGAUCGUAAAACUCUGUUGAUAGAGAAGAACAAGGGUGAGAGUAACUGUUCACCCCUUGACGGUAUCUAACCAGAAAGCCACGGCUAACUACGUGCCGG